AUUCCACCUCUUUCUCUGGUCCAGAAGUUAGACAGCCACUUGAAGUUAUUUCGUGGAUAAUCAGUGGAAGGAGAAGGAGGUCUCCAGAGGAAAAUUCAUCCCAUUUUAAGAUAGCUAUUUGAAGAAAAUUCAAGUUGCUAAGCAACCUCAUCUGGAUUCCUUUACUCUCACAGACUAUGGAGGGAACCUUGCUGAGAAAGUCAACUGUUUGCCUACCUUCCAACUGCUUAUGGAAAUGAUAUGGUACUUGGGAGAUCAAGACUACAACUCUUCUGACUACAUAGAUGACUGCAACUAAUACAUAGAUGCCUUAGAGAAAACACAAAAAUGCUCUCUAAGAUAAUGAAAAAAAGAGAUAUAUCUGAAAAAGAAGGAAAAUUCAAAAUUAUUCAGAUCAAGGAAAUGAUCCAGAAGAUGAUGAAGAGCUACAGCCUCAAACUCAGAUUACAACCUUUUCUGGACAGUUUGGAGGAUAUUUAUCUAGAGCUACAUUCUGCAAAGUAAUAUGCAUAACUUCCAGUGGUAUAGCCUUCUACAGACUAUGUGUACAUCUAAUCCCUCUGAGAAACAAUGAAUUUAAAUGUGAACUCUCUUCAUAUGAGUAAAAAUGUUCAACACAAGAAUAAUUUGUCUAGAAUGUCUUGUGAUCCCUGUAAGUAGGAGACCUGAGACCUGACUGGACAAGUUUCUGUCAAGAAGAUACAUGAUCCACAGCAAUCCUGUUUGGUGACAGUGAGAAGACUAGAUCACUUCUAGACCAAUUUUAAGUUAUCCUAUUAUUAAAGUUAGCGAUAAAUUUCCAUGAAAUCUCCAAUGAAUUCUCAGACAAUCAGUUCUGACAAUAACUCUCACUGCACUUCAAAUGGAGGCCACUCAAUAUUUCACAGAGAUUAUAGUUCUGCCUCAAAAUUCCCCUUCACAUAUGAUUAAAAAGCAUCAAUAUUAACUCUUAACUGUGGUCAGAUACUAACAUAGUAGAGAUAAAUACCUGAUUUUCUUAAUUUCUUUGGAAAUUUAGAUUUGCACACUGCCCAGUUCAUUUUACUAUAUCAGCUUCCACUUUUUGAAGUGAAGUACCCUAUCUGCUGCUUUAAACACCUAGCCAAAUUUUUAACUACUGUCAAUAAAAACCAUCUGAAAAAAUGAAUCUUCUGCAUGUUAAGACAACCAUAUAAAAUCUUACAAGCAAGUCAUAAAAAUGUAGCAAAUAGUUUUGUCACUACAAAGACAAGAAAUACUGAGCAUUUUCUGACCUCCAACUCCUUGGCACGAACAUCAAUGCACACAGACAUGGGCAAAAAACAGGAGGAGCUGGAAGACACUGGACAGCAAGAAACUGUCAUGAAUUGUCAUCGUGGAAACAUGGUGGAAUGACUCCCACAACUGGAAUGCCACAGUGGAUGGCUAUAAAUCCUUCAGAAGGUACCAGCAAGGAAGGACAGGCAGUGGGGUAGCCCUGUAUAUUGGGGAGGAGUUUGAGUGUCUAGACCUUAAUGAUGGUGAUGAAAAUCAAGUGUUUAGGGGUAAGAAUCAAGGGGAAGGCUGACAAGGCAGACAUCCUGGUGGGAGCAUGUCAUAGACCACCCAGCCAAGAUAAAAAGACAGCAGAAAUAUUCUUCAAGCUGGGAGAAGUCUCAUGAAGUCCUCAUGGAGGACUUCAACUUACCAGAUGUCUGCUGGAAAUACAUCACAGCAGAGAGGAGUCAGUGUAGGAGGAAUUGAGGGGUGUGUAGAAAAUAACUUCCUGAUACAGCUGGUGAGUUAGCAAACUAGGGCAGAUGUGCCACUGGACCUGUGUGUGGACAGAGAAGGACUAGUGAGCGAUGUGAUGGUUAGAGGCUGUCUUGAUAAUUUUUGAUUCAUGAGAAGUAAAGAGGGAAGCCAGCAGAAUUGCUACCCUGAACUUCCAGAAUGACACAAAAAGACUGAGGUACAUAGUAGCUUCUUUUUCUCAGGCUUUAAUAGCAAGACCAGUUGGUUUUGGGUACCCUGAGCUGGAAGACUGGGACAGGGAGCAGAAUAAUGCCCCUGUAAUCUAAGGGACCUGCUUUGUCAAUUAGCAGUGCAUCUAUGGUGCCAGAUACAAAGACUACACUUGUAAGUACUUUUGCCUUAAAAUAAUAAUGAAAAGUUGAAAUCUGUCUAACUUAAGUUAAAGCUGAUGAAAAUAUGCUUUGCUAUCAUCUCUUCAAAAGCUAUGUUAAGAUAUAUUUGAAUUAAUAAAUUGUACCAGUUUGUAAAACAGUUUUCAGGUUACCUCUGAAAUUUAUUAGAUACUGAUGGGUUUUUGGAGUGAUAUUAUUUAAAGUACAGACAGCCACAAGGCUCCCACAUCUAAUAUAAUUAAAUUAGCUGCUGUCUGUGGUAUAUGAAGUUUUCUUCCGGACAACAAAUUUCUGAUUAAGAUGCCUGUUGUCAAAAAAUGUGGAUGGGAAGAAGUUUGGGUAUUGAGAGAUUUAUUUGGGAAAGAACAGUAUUGACAAACCAUGUGUUCAGAGGUGAUUAAUCAUUCAUUGAUAUUAAUAAAAAUAUAAUUGAUUUUCUUCUAUUUGAUGAAAUAUAGGUCUGGUCAAUAGUUAAUCAGACACCAGAUCCUGUAAAUCCUGCACAAUUACUUGCAAGUACUUACCCUUCUUCAAGAUUAAGUAAUUUGACUGUCAGUGCACAAUUUUGCUUUGUGUUUGAGUGGCUUUAUAUUUUGUUACCCUGUGAUGAUAUGAAAACAGGACUUCAAAGAAAAACUGCUGUUUUUCAAUUUGUAGAUGAACAGAAUCAUGAGAACUGGCCUCCAAACACUAAUUUUAAUGGUUCACUCCUUUGAAUGUAUUGAUGGUAUUUUAAAUCUCUACCAUCUUUUAGAAACUGUUCAGUUCCUGCAUUUAGGAAAGUGGAAUUUGAAACAAGAGCUUUGGAACUUAAACAGGGUAACAAUAAACCUUUGAAAGAGUAAAAAUUUAUUCUGGAUGAGAUAUCCUACCUUCCUGCUUCAUGUCCCUGGCUGUAUUCAUAUUUUUCUGUCCAGAUCACAGCUCAAAUUCUUAUAUCCUCAGGUUAUCCUUGUAAAAAUUCUGAUUAUCUUUCAGAUAGCUUUUUUGAGUCUCCCUGACUUGAGUCUGGAAGCCUUACAGCAAUGGGACACCAGACAAGCAAACAUUUGAAAACAGUUACCCUACUCCUCCAGUUUUUGUAGUGUUGUUGAGGAAACACAAAGGAACAUUUCUACUGAAAGUCUCCCAGGUGAACUGACCUCUUUUAUCUGAGGUGAAUACAUUGCUAUUAAAAGAAAAAGCUUUCUAAGGGAUGAACACAAGUACUAUAAUAGGUCCCACUUAAUUUAAAAUAAGCAAGUACAUCCUUGCCAUAAUUCAACUCCUGGUUGCUACCUCCCAGAUUAUUGAACAUUUCUAACUAUUCCCAUUUGGAGAAGAAAUAUGGGAAUUCAGGUCCCUGUAUGUUCUGGCCUUUGACCUGGCUGUGGCCGUAUGGGCAAUUGAACAAAUGUCCAUGAAACACUCAGUUUGUCCCUCCACUACUGCAGUGGAGAAAUUUGCCUUGGGGAGUAUGUUCUAGCUGAACAUUACUUCCAGUGGUAAUUAAACCAUUCAGAAAUCCCUGCAAAGGUCACUGCAGUUACAAGUUAAAAAUAACCAGUUUCUUACAAAUUUAAUGUAAAAACUACUCUUGAAUCCAGCUAGUUCUAAAUCUAACAAAAUCUAGGCAGACUUGAAUGGGUGUCUCUAUUUUCAAUUUUUAGAAAUAUCUAUGUUUCAGGAAACUCUGGAAAACUGGUGAUGCCUUUAGAGGCUGACCUAGAACAGACACUAGACAGAGCUAAAAGAAUAAAGUGGUUAUUUAUUAAAAGGCUUUAAAGGAUACA